AUUGAACGCUGGCGGCAGGCCUAACACAUGCAAGUCGAACGGUAGCACAGAGAGCUUGCUCUCGGGUGACGAGUGGCGGACGGGUGAGUAAUGUCUGGGAAACUGCCUGAUGGAGGGGGAUAACUACUGGAAACGGUAGCUAAUACCGCAUAACGUCGCAAGACCAAAGUGGGGGACCUUCGGGCCUCACACCAUCGGAUGUGCCCAGAAGGGAUUAGCUAGUAGGUGGGGUAAUGGCUCACCUAGGCGACGAUCCCUAGCUGGUCUGAGAGGAUGACCAGCCACACUGGAACUGAGACACGGUCCAGACUCCUACGGGAGGCAGCAGUGGGGAAUAUUGCACAAUGGGCGCAAGCCUGAUGCAGCCAUGCCGCGUGUAUGAAGAAGGCCUUCGGGUUGUAAAGUACUUUCAGCGGGGAGGAAGGCGGUGAAGUUAAUAGCUUCACCGAUUGACGUUACUCGCAGAAGAAGCACCGGCUAACUCCGUGCCAGCCGCCGCGGUAA
rnacentral:rRNA from 1 species